ensembl:snoRNA
UUCCACAGCUACUGGUCUGCAGCUGUUGUUAAUCAUAGCAGCUGUGGCAUUCCACUGUGGGAAAGGAAUUGUCACACAACUGAAUACCUCUUUCUUAGCCAAAAGGAAAGUGGGCAUGUGUGUGACAGACAUAA